rnacentral:rRNA from 1 species
GACGAACGCUGGCGGCGUGCCUAAUACAUGCAAGUCGAACGCAGUGGGGACGGGUGCGUAACACGUGGCUAACCUCCCAUCAAAGGAGAUAACACUUGGAAACAGGUGCUAACACGAUACUGAUGGAUGGACCCGCGGGGCAUUAGCUAGUUGGUGGGGUAACGGCUCACCAAGGCCACGAUGCAUAGCCGGCCUGAGAGGGUGAGCGGCCACACUGGGACUGAGACACGGCCCAGACUCCUACGGGAGGCAGAAGUAGGGAAUCUUCGGCAAUGGACGAAAGUCUGACCGAGCAACGCCGCGUGAGUGAAGAAGGUUUUCGGAUCGUAAAACUCUGUUGUUAGAGAAGCGGUAUCUAACCAGAAAGCCACGGCUAACUACGUGCCAGCAGCCGCGGUAAUAC